GGGGGGGGGGAGGAAACAGAGGAAUAAACUCAGACAGAAAUACAAGGAAAGCAAAAGGAAAAACGCAAGCAGAAAACACAUAGUCUAACAUCAACUUCGUCGUCGUCUUCAUCGCCUCCAGCAGAUCAGAAGCUGGAGUGUUGACAUCUGCCACGGUGAUGCUGGAGUGAAGCUGCGCUGCUGGACGAAGAAGAAGUUGCUCUGUUGAAGACUUCAACCGCUGCUGAUGGAGACUCCAGCUACUUCAAAUGGCAAAAAACACAAGAGAGCAGGCUACUAGAAUUGUAACUCAGUCACUGGAACACUAGCGCUCUCGGCUGCAUAGAAGAAAGGCUAUUGCUGGUGUUGGAGGAGCUGGCGGCUGGCACUGCUGCUCAGAAGAGAUGCACCUUGCCUGCUUUGCUAACGACUGCUACACUGCUGGAGCAAGAUGAUGUUUCUGCGCUACUGUGUUCAGAUCGAAGAGAAAAGCCGUUGUUGCAGCUGGUUGGCUCUUUCUGUAUUGCUUCAAUGGACUGGGAGGCUGUUUGCUGCUGAAGAAGGAGCUGCAAGAGGAUGUCGGUCACCGCUGUUGAACUGCUGAGGAGGAAACUGCAGCUGUUGCUGAACAAAGAACAGUUGUUUGCUGGUAGCUAAUAAAGACCGAGAUGUUGCUAAUGUUGUGCAGUGAAGAUGAAGUUACAAGGGUUGUGCUGGUGCAGAGCUGCUCUUCUAAGAUGAUUAAAUAAAUCCCACGAACAGCUGAGGAAGAUGUCAGUUGCUGCACUGCUGAGAGGGGCGACUGCAACGCUACACUGAUGUUGCUCCUUCAAACAGUUGUUGUUGUGAAAGCAAUUCAAAGUAACAGAAAUAAAUAGAUUAUAUAUAGUUUAAAUUAAAAAUAUUAUUUUAUUUUUAAUAAAUAAAACAAGAUAUAUAUAUUUCUUCCUCUCACGGGUUUUGUGUGCCUUUGGGAGGUUAGAGAAACUUUUUCGUGUA